GACGAACGCUGGCGGCGUGCUUAACACAUGCAAGUCGAACGGAAAGGCCCUGCUUUUGUGGGGUGCUCGAGUGGCGAACGGGUGAGUAACACGUGAGUAACCUGCCCUUGACUUUGGGAUAACUUCAGGAAACUGGGGCUCAUACCGGAUAGGAUCUCCUGCUGCAUGGUGGGGGUUGGAAAGUUUCGGCGGUUGGGGAUGGACUCGCGGCUUAUCAGCUUGUUGGUGGGGUAGUGGCUUACCAAGGCUUUGACGGGUAGCCGGCCUGAGAGGGUGACCGGCCACAUUGGGACUGAGAGACGGCCCAGACUCCUACGGGAGGCAGCAGUGGGGAAUAUUGCACAAUGGGCGGAAGCCUGAUGCAGCAACGCCGCGUGCGGGAUGACGGCCUUCGGGUUGUAAACCGCUUUCGCCUGUGACGAAGCGUGAGUGACGGUAAUGGGUAAAGAAGCACCGGCUAACUACGUG
rnacentral:rRNA from 1 species